CCCUCUCUAGCCCAGCGGUAGCAAACACUUAGCGGAAGCGCUUGGUCGUGGGUUCGAGUCCCACGGGAAUUA
rnacentral:tRNA from 1 species